rnacentral:rRNA from 1 species
UACGAAGGGUGCAAGCGUUAAUCGGAAUUACUGGGCGUAAAGGGUGCGUAGGCGGUUCGUUAAGUCUGUCGUGAAAUCCCCGGGCUCAACCUGGGAAUGGCGAUGGAUACUGGCGAGCUAGAGUGUGUCAGAGGGGGGUAGAAUUCCACGUGUAGCAGUGAAAUGCGUAGAGAUGUGGAGGAAUACCGAUGGCGAAGGCAGCCCCCUGGGACAACACUGACGCUCAGGCACGAAAGCGUGGGGAGCAAACAGG